GGAUAACUGCCCGAAAGGGCAGCUAAUACCGCAUGAGACCUGAGGGUGAAAGCGGGGGAUCGCAAGACCUCGCGCUGGAAGAGCGGCCGAUGUCCGAUUAGCUAGUUGGUGAGGUAAAGGCUCACCAAGGCGACGAUCGGUAGCUGGUCUGAGAGGACGACCAGCCACACUGGGACUGAGACACGGCCCAGACUCCUACGGGAGGCAGCAGUGGGGAAUUUUGGACAAUGGGGGCAACCCUGAUCCAGCCAUGCCGCGUGCAGGAUGAAGGUCUUCGGAUUGUAAACUGCUUUUGUCAGGGACGAAAAGGGAUGCGAUAAUACCGCAUUCCGCUGACGGUACCUGAAGAAUAAGCACCGGCUAACUACGUGCCAGCAGCCGCGGUAAUACGUAGGGUGCAAGCGUUAAUCGGAAUUACUGGGCGUAAAGCGUGCGCAGGCGGUUCUGUAAGAUAGAUGUGAAAUCCCCGGGCUCAACCUGGGAAUUGCAUAUAUGACUGCAGGACUUGAGUUUGUCAGAGGAGGGUGGAAUUCCACGUGUAGCAGUGAAAUGCGUAGAUAUGUGGAAGAACACCGAUGGCGAAGGCAGCCCUCUGGGACAUGACUGACGCUCAUGCACGAAAGCGUGGGGAGCAAACAGGAUUAGGUACCCUGGUAGUCCACGCCCUAAACGAUGUCUACUAGUUGUUGGGGACGAUAGUCCUUGGUAACGCAG
rnacentral:rRNA from 1 species